CCUACGGGCGGCAGCAGUGAGGAAUAUUGGUCAAUGGGCGAGAGCCUGAACCAGCCAAGUCGCGUGAAGGAUGACGGCCCUACGGGUUGUAAACUUCUUUUGUCAGGGAGCAAUUGAGUCCACGUGUGGGCUUAGCGAGAGUACCUGAAGAAAAAGCAUCGGCUAACUCCGUGCCAGCAGCCGCGGUAAUACGGAGGAUGCGAGCGUUAUCCGGAUUUAUUGGGUUUAAAGGGUGCGUAGGCGGAAUAUCAAGUCAGCGGUAAAAAUUCGGGGCUCAACCCCGUCGUGCCGUUGAAACUGAUGUUCUUGAGUGGGCGAGAAGUAUGCGGAAUUCGUCGUGUAGCGGUGAAAUGCUUAGAUAUGACGAAGAACCCCGAUUGCGAAGGCAGCUUGCUGCAGCGGAACUGACGCUGAUGCUCGAAAGCGCGGGUAUCGAACAGGAUUAGAUACCCUAGUAGUC
rnacentral:rRNA from 1 species